rnacentral:lncRNA from 1 species
GUUCCCCGGCUCUCGGGGGAGGCCGGGCCCGGGCCCCAAGCGGGAAACAGCGGCCCCCUCGGCCUAAAAAACAGGGCCCACUGAAGCCCCUCAUGGGGCGGAGCGAACCCAAAGGGGCGCUGCCGCUCCUGCCGGGCCUGCCUGUACCGGUGGCGCCCUCAGGCGGGGCCAGGGCCGGGCCUCCAAGAAGGCGGCAGCCGCGCCGGCAGGAAGGGCCCCUGGGUCAACUGGCGAGGAGGGAGCCGGAGGGGGCGCUGCCCGCCCUCGACCUGCCCCCUCCCGCCCCGGAGGCCCCUCCUCGCCAGGAUCCCGACAACAUCUGGGUCCCCCAGGGGCGCCUCCUGCCUGACAUCCGGCUGCCCUUCCCCGCGCCUCCCCCGCCCUGGGCGCCGCUCAACAUGCUCGCCAGGAGAUACGGGUGAAUGGAUCAUAGAAUCCCGAAAACAUCGAAAGCCCCGCUUUUAUUUUCAUAGGGCUGAUGGCCUUGGAGGAAGGAGAUGCUGAUAACUUAAAACGCCGUGUAGUGGAACUACUGCUUCAGAACCCCCAAGGCAUCAGGUUUGAGAAUUUUUCUGGGGCCUUCCAUCAGCUGCAUGGUUACUACCCUCGUAUCGCUCUUCAGGGAUAUCAUACGCUCAAGGAAUUAGUGGCUGAUAUGAAGAAUGCUGUGGUUGUGGAAAGGCGUUCACGGCAACAAGUUUUGAAGAUUGCAAAGGGCUUCCGUCUUGACUGUUGGUUGGAAGGAGAAAAAGGGAAUGGAUUGGAAACAUCAGAAAGAGAAGUGGAGAACCUGCGAGAUGAAGACCAAGUUGGAGGAGAAACAACUCUUGCAGACAUCUUGGAUUUGCUCAUCAGCCUCCUAACGGAGUACAAAUCGGGACUGAGAAUUAGCUAUAUCCAGAAAUUCAUGCUAUCCAAGCAUGCAGUGGACAUGGAAAAGUUCAGCAUUGCCCAAGGCUACAAGAACAUCAUGGAAUUCUUGGGACAUGAACUGCCAGAGCUAAUAGUCAGAUAUCAAGAGAAAACCUGUGAAUAUGUUGUACAGAUUCCUGAAGGUCUCUUUGCCUCAGAUCUGUCUGUGGAGUCAGAUUUCUCUACAUGGAGCUCACCAUCCUCGACCCAGGAUCUAACAAGAACAAACUCUGCUAGCUCUUUGUAUUACACAUGCAAAAGUGACCCAAACCAUGUGAAGCAACCUACAAAAUAUGUCCCAGAUCUGCCGGCUGCUUCAAAGCUAAUUCGGGAUGUGCUCAAGAGUUUUCCUUGUGGUAUCAAAGUAUGUUCGCUAAAAAGGGUCCUCAGAAAGAGAUGCGGAUUUGACUUGGAGGCAUUCCGCACACAGCACGGAUACCAAGAUGUGUUGUCCUGCUUGAAGGAUAUCCCUGACCUGUUUCUGCUAAACACGAAUAGGCAUCGGAAUUGUCUCGUCCGCCUUCAGCCAUGUCCCUUUGGUUCAGAUCUGUCUCUGGACUCAGAUUUCUCUGGAUAUAGCUCUCACUCCGAACCCGACGGUCUAACAAGAACGAAUUCCGUCCUGUCUCUGGAAAGUACCUCCAGCUGUACUCCUUCUCUUGAUACUAAUUUCUCUGUUGGUCACACAAAUGUUGAGCCUAAGAAACCGAGGUCAACAAAUUCAGCUGUCUCUUUACCUUCUACCAGUGUGAGUGUGCCAAACCAUGUGAAGGAGCCAACAAACCAGGCCCUAGCUGUCUCUCUACCUUCUACCAGUGUGAGUGUGCCGAACCAUGCGAAGGAACCAACAAACCAGGCCCUAGCAUUACCAGAAGUUUUGUCUUUAGUCAGUGACCUACUCACCAAGUACAAAGACGGUCUGAGAAUUAAGAAAAUUCAAGAUUUCCUGAUGGCCACAAACAGCAUUGACCUUGAGAAAUUCAGCAUCAUGCAAGGCUACAAAGGCUCAGUGGAAUUUUUGCAGCGUCAAAUGCCUUAUUUAUCCUACAUGAAACGAAACCAAAGACUCAACAGUGUUUUUAAACUGGGUAUAAAGGCAAAAAAGAAGCAGCCUCAAAAACAUCCCCAAACUGGAACAACCAAAAAGAAUCCUUCUGUUGCUUCUGUUCCCCCUUUGAUGAAUGCCCCUGUGCUGCAGUCAACAAAACCACUGGAGCCAGUUUGUUCCGAAUCAGGCUUUGGAAGUGUCUCUAAGUCUUCCGUUACAGCCCAUGAUUUUACUGCAAGCAAAUCUCAGUCCCAGAGCCUGCCUUUACAAGCUCCUUCCACACCACACCAAGUCAAGAAUACGAUCCAUUCCAGCAUGCGUAUCCCACUUCCAUCUUUUCAUGAGGUCCAUAAUGCAUCACCAGCCAAGCCUAACAAUUCAGGCCAGUCUAUUUCCAAUGGUCCACACCAGAAGCCAAAUGUAUGCCUGUGUGGACCACCACCCAUGGAAGAGGUAUCUUGUCAGUUGGAUAGGCAACCGUCUAACAAAUCCAAAAUGACUAAAGAUGAACCUUCACAGGACCAGGAUGAUUUGAAGCAGCAAGUAGCUCACAUCCUGGCCUUGCAUCCAGAAGGCAUGUCACUUUUCCAGUUCCGUGCAGCCUAUAGUGCCACCUAUCAGCAGCACUUCCCAAUGGACAACACUGCUUCUGUCAAACAACGUUUGCAGGAAAUGCCGGAUGUUGUUAGUAUGAAAAGCUAUGGAGUCCAAACAAGGCUGCUAUCUGUAUCCCGUGCAAUGCCAUCUUUAAAAUCUGGUCAGCCUGUCUCUGCCACAAUGGAAAAAGCUUCAGUUGUCCCUGGUCUCUCACAGCCCAGAACAGUGUCACUGACUCAAGAGAAUUCUGAAGAACUUGGAGGAGAUGACAGCAAGGAGGAUUACCCAGUCCUUGAUUCUUUGCUCCACCAAGUAGUUAAACCAAGAGGUUGUGUGCAAGAGAAUGUGAAGAAGAAGCCCAGGCCAAUGGGAGCUCCGGUCAUUCCUCAGCCCCCUGUAGUCUGUCAUACAUAUGCCCAAGUCACAGCUUCACGUAAACCUUUGAAACCAAAUAGUCUUCAUAUGAAGCCCACACAACUUAAUAGCCCUUGUAUUUCUGCCAACAAUGCCUCAGUGCCUUCCACCUCUCAUUCUGCCUCUUACAACUCUGGAACAUGGGCGCAGCCGGUGAGCUAUCCAUUUGUGCCGUUGGUUUCCCAGAUGCCAGAGAUUUCCCCUGUCAAGCCCGCCUAUAUCAAAGUUUCUAGAUAUCCUUCCGGGAUCCAGUUUAAGAACCCUACAGUUCAGAGCUCUCCUUUUGCUCAGCCACCCCAUGUGCUCCCAAUUAGAUAUGAUCCGACAAUGCAUCUCACCGAAAGCACAGAACAAUGGAGCAACAUUUGUACUCUCCCACAAGUGGAUGCCUAUUCUCCAGUGAAGACAUCAUCCAACACCCAGCAGCUUGCCCAAAACCCUACAUCCUCAACAAGGAGAUAUCCCAUAUCUCCAUCUUCUAGAAACAUCUCCCAGACUGUCCAGCAGCUAGAAUCUUAUAACCAUACACAGCAGGAUGGUGUGCAGCUUGGAUCAGUUGUGGUAGUAAGGAAUAAAAGCUUCAUAGUAACAUCUCUGGACACACAGCCUAAGCCUCCAGCAUCUGCUUAUCAGAGACAAUACGUUGAUUGGAAUCCUCUGGUAUCUACUACAAACAGAGCGCCGUUCAUUUCACAUGGUGCUUGCUCCACUAGUCAGCUCUUCCAGCCCUUGGAAACUUCCUCUAGUAGGAAAAGGAAUCCUAAUUCUCUGCUUUUUGAACCUCCAAUUUUUGUGGAUCAACCACAACCUGUUAGUGCAAGUGCUACCAUAACCACCUCAUCGUACUCACCACCUUCACUUGUAGAUGCUACUGUAAGCCCAUAUUCCAACCACUUAUCUGUUUGUAAUAAUUCUGCUAGUCAACCUUCAAAGCCUCGAGCUUCCAUUCAACAGCAACAAUAUACUAGCCUGAAUACCUCUGUAAUCAACUCCAGCGGGAAACAAGCAGGUUCAUUGCCUUGCCCUCAAGACCUCACUAUCAGACGAUCCCGCCAACUUUCCAUAACACCUUUAAGUGUUUGUACAGAUAAUGAGCCUCCUGUCCAAACUAAGCCUGUGGUUUCUUUUUCCAAACAUGCUGACGAUCAUCAUGUUUCUUUGCCAAAAAACCAGACAUCUUAUUCUCCCCCAAAUAGCCCUCUUAAAAAACUGGAUAGUUGUGUUAUCCUGUAA